rnacentral:rRNA from 1 species
UACGGGGGGAGCAAGCGUUGUUCGGAUUUACUGGGCGUAAAGGGCGCGUAGGCGGCCACCGCAAGUCAGUUGUGAAAUCUCUGGGCUUAACCCAGAAAGGUCAACUGAUACUGCGGGGCUAGAGUGCAGAAGGGGCAACUGGAAUUCUCGGUGUAGCGGUGAAAUGCGCAGAUAUCAGGAGGAACACCGGUGGCGAAGGCGGGUCUCUGGGCCGAUACUGACGCUGAGGAGCGAAAGCGUGGGGAGCGAACAGG